GACGUAGGGGACGAGCGUUGUCCGGAUUCACUGGGCGUAAAGGGUGCGUAGGUGGCCAGGUAAGUUUGAUGUGAAAGCUCGGAGCUUAACUCCGAAAUGGCAUUGAAUACUAUCUGGCUUGAGGGUCGGAGGGGAGACUGGAAUUCUCGGUGUAGCAGUGAAAUGCGUAGAUAUCGAGAGGAACACCGGUGGCGAAGGCGAGUCCCUGGACAACACCUGACACUGAGGCACGAAAGCUAGGGGAGCAAACAGG
rnacentral:rRNA from 1 species